GAUCAUGACCCCAGCCGAAGGCAGACGCUUAACCAGCUGAGCCACCCAGGCGCCCCUGGACAGGUGCCCAGCUUUGGAUUAGUCAUGAUACUUGCUACACGACACCCUCUUUUUAUUGGUCCUUGCACGGCCUGCUUGUAUUAAUGCAACUUAACCACCAGAAGAACCUCUAAACAAAAGGGAGAAUCCUGACAAAACCUAUAUCUAACCAUAUGGAAAACUCACCAAUCCAUCGCCUUUUCAGGCAUUUCUCGAGUAUAUGCCUAGAAGUGGAACUGCUGGGCUACGGAGUCUGUGACAUUCUUCUUUAGGAGGUAAGGCCAGCCUGCUUUUCAACAUGGCGGCACCAAUUCGCAUCCCCACAUGAGAGAUACUGUGGAUCGACAUCUUCUGCAACACUUGAUACUAUCAGACUUUUUCAUUUUCUUCUUAAUUAAAUGAAGGCAAAAUGGUCUCACUGUGGUUUUGAUUUGCAUUUCCCUGAUUACCAAUGAUGUUGAUCAUUUUCAUAUGAUGACUGGUCAUAUGUAUUUGUUCUCAUGUGAAAAUCUUGCUCGUGACUCUUGCACUUUUUCUGCUGGACUGUGUUUGCUUUAUUCACGGGUGAGGUGUUCUUGAUUUUUUUUUUUUUAGUUAUUUUUAAUUGUGGCCAAAUUCUCAAUACUGAUCUGUUGGCUAUUAAGUAUUGUGAUUACCUUCUGCAAGUUUAUAUAUUGUCUUUUCACUUUCUUUAAAUUGUCUCUUAACAAGCGAAACUUCCUUUAAUGAAAAAAAUAUUUUAAUAUAGUUGCGUGCAUCAGUGCUGUUCUGUGUCUUGUUUAAGGUCUAUUUCCUUAAGGUCUAAAUGAUACUCAUCAGUAUUUUCUCCUUAGAGUUUAACUUACUGUUUCACAGCAAAUAAAGCUUAAUACUUUUCCUAAGACCUCUACCUGUAGUCAAUUUCUGUUCUAAUGUAAAGGAGAGAUUUAGUUAAUCUUUUUCCAUAUGGCUAACCAUUUCCCCAAAUCCUUUUGGUGAACAGCGCCAUCUUUCCACAUGAUCUCAUGUCACCUUUGUUAUAUACCAAAGAUAUAUACAUCCAUGGGUCUGUUUCCAGGCUCACUGUUCUAUAGCAGCUUCAAAAUAAGUCCUAAUAUCUAGUAGGGCUAGUCCUUAUUUUUCUGUUGUUCUUCAGAAAUAUUCUGGCCCUUUAUUCUUCAGUAUAAAUUUAAAAAUCAUUAUAGCAAGCAAUGAAAAUCACUAUUGGGAUUUUGUUUGACCUCUUUAGAUCAUAACAUCUUUGUAAUACUCAAUCUUUCUAUAUAUGAACAUUAUGCCUUUCUCCAUUGAUUUAGCUCUUCUUUACUAUCUCAGUAAAGUUUUAUAAUUUUCUCUCUAGCGGUCUUGAAUAUAAGAUUUAUUACAAGGUCCUUAACGUUCUCUGAUAGGAUAAUUGUUUUCUCUUAAAUUGUAUUUUCUAGUUGUUUUCUUUUAGUGUGUAGAAAUGCAACUGACUUUUGCAUAUUACCCUUAUACUAAAACACCUAAAAUGCUUUUUCUGAAUCUACUCAGAU